AUGCAGUCGAGCGGAACGACACUAACAAUCCUUCGGGUGCGUUAAUGGGCGUCGAGCGGCGGACGGGUGAGUAAUGCCUAGGAAAUUGCCUUGAUGUGGGGGAUAACCAUUGGAAACGAUGGCUAAUACCGCAUAAUGCCUACGGGCCAAAGAGGGGGACCUUCGGGCCUCUCGCGUCAAGAUAUGCCUAGGUGGGAUUAGCUAGUUGGUGAGGUAAUGGCUCACCAAGGCGACGAUCCCUAGCUGGUCUGAGAGGAUGAUCAGCCACACUGGAACUGAGACACGGUCCAGACUCCUACGGGAGGCAGCAGUGGGGAAUAUUGCACAAUGGGCGAAAGCCUGAUGCAGCCAUGCCGCGUGUAUGAAGAAGGCCUUCGGGUUGUAAAGUACUUUCAGUUGUGAGGAAGGGGGUAGCGUUAAUAGCGCUAUCUCUUGACGUUAGCAACAGAAGAAGCACCGGCUAACUCCGUGCCAGCAGCCGCGGUAAUACGGAGGGUGCGAGCGUUAAUCGGAAUUACUGGGCGUAAAGCGCAUGCAGGUGGUUCAUUAAGUCAGAUGUGAAAGCCCGGGGCUCAACCUCGGAACUGCAUUUGAAACUGG
rnacentral:rRNA from 1 species